rnacentral:lncRNA from 1 species
CAGCGAAAGAGGGCUUUGGCUAUCAUUACUUUUCAUCCUUGAAGUCUCCAGCAAAGUCUCAUUCCCCUGCAGGCCUUGCCCCUUCCAUUUCCUUCUCACCUGUCCUCUUUUUCACCCUCUUCUCUUUGCUCUUCAUGCUUGCUGUCCCCCAGGACUCUGAGGAGGAAGUCCAGUAGGGUCAAAGGCUUCUCACCAGGCCUCUCACCAGCCCCUCAUCUGGCCCUGUACACCUGUAACACCCCUGAAUCCUCCUCAGGGUACUUCUCUGAGGAUGACUCUGCAGGGCACUCCGUUAUCCACCAGCCUGGCUCUGCAUCCACCUCCAAUAAUGGUGCCUCCCAAGUUGGCAUCUUUAACUGGAUGGCAAUAUACAUUUCAGGUUGGCUCUUUGCAGCAUUCCAGUGGUGCCUGGGAAACGCCUGGCACUGCCUGACCACAGCUGCCUCCCUCCAGGAUUUCUUUCUGUUAAUCAGGAGCUUUUUCACUCGGAAGAAGUUGCUCCUCUUUGUCUUGGGGAUGCUGUUCUUUGUGGCUUCGCUGGCUUAUGGUGAGCCUUGUGGAGUGCCCAGGUCGGCCACUCCAGAUGGGGGCGAAGGACAAGGGUUUGGGGA